AUACCCCAGGUCAGGCGGGGCUACCCGCCGAGUUUAAGCAUAUAAAUAAGCGGAGGAGAAGAAACUUACAAGGAUUCCC
rnacentral:rRNA from 12 species